CUGAGUCACACCAGCCAGGGCAACACCUGUACUUUUAUGGUAUUAUUUUGUUGAUUUAUUUAUUGUCUAUCUCCUCACCUGCAUAUAAACUCCCUGAUGAUCUUGUCUUACUAAUCUGCUUAAUUAUAAAAACCUUUUUUUCUUUAAAGUGGGCCACUAUCCCUCAGUAUUGAAGAUGAUUGACUGGAGUAGCACAAGGACAAUGUUUAGCACCACACCAGACUCAUAAUAGAUGCUCAAUAAAUGCCAAUUUCAAGGAAAGAAAUGGAAAUUCCUGGGUGACAGAAACAAAUUCAGAAUUCAUCCUGAAGGUAAGUGGAUGUUGAAGUCACAGUGGCCCCUAGGACACCAGACUUGCAAACAGAUGAGCCUUUGGGGAUAGGGUUAGAAUGCCCCCAGGGAGAUAGGAGACAACCUCUGGGCCUUUCAAGGUGGAAACUGAAACGAUCCCCUGGCACUUGAAAGGGCUGUUGCUAGAAAAAAAGGAUUGGAAGAAAACAAAAUAUUAAUUGUGGUUGCCUUGGGGUUGAGGUUAAAAUAGAUGUCACAGAAAAACAGUAGGAGAAAGGAGUCCUGAGCUCUUAGGGAAGGGAAAAUAGUCAGGGAGUCCUUCCCAGAGUGGGGGCUGCUGGAGCUGGCUAAGAGGCCCACCCUUAGCAACUCAACCUGCCAGGGCCAGCACCUGAGAUUUGAACCCAUUUCUCCGGGCUUAGUUCUGCUUCCUGGAAUGCUUUUGCAUACCUGUGCUGCCAGGAAUCCUGUUCAGGUUUCUAGCCAGCCAAUACAGAUACACUUUUUCUUUCUCUUGCUUUUGCUCUGUGGUCCUUUGAACAAAAAUGUUUAUCCUCACAGAAAUUUCUAGGUCAGCAGAUCUAGGUUCAACUGAUCUAAACUAGGCUCAGCCAAGCAGCUCUACUUCAGGUUGAGGAAGAUUGGCUGGGCUGAGCAACUAUGUUGAUUGGAUUCAGAUUUGUUCAUGUGGGGGCGGCUCCUGCUGAGUCCCAUGCUGAAAUUGCAGCAGCUACCCAAGGCAUGAUCUUUUUUUUUUGAAUCCUCGCCAAGGUUAUGUUUUUACUAAUCCUUAGAGAAAGAGAGAAAGAGGAAAGGGGGGGAGA